UCCCUCUCCCUCUCCCUCUCCCGACAACUCUCUCUCUCUCUCCCCCGACUCUCAGCUUCUUCCUACCCCCGACUCUCUCUCUCUCGCGCGCGAGCUGCCUUUAAUUUCAGGGCUUAGAUGAAGAUCUGAAACAGCCCUACCCACGCACGCCCUCUCUCUCUGAAGCUCGGUUGAGGAACUCUUGCAUGCUUCCAUUGCUUGCUGCAGGAAACUUAUAGUGGAAUGGGUUCUGGCUGCCCACCUUGAAGAUACAACUGCAAAAGAGCAUAUUACCAGAUGCUGAAUUCUAUCGCUGGGGAGCAGGACUCAUGUGUGACACUGGCACCUAAGUGCAUUAAAUGCUAAUCCCACUUGGUUGUGGGCAGAGUUGUGUCAACAUAGGAUCUGGUAAAUUAUAUUUCUAAAGGUACCCUUGAUGUGCAUAU